rnacentral:misc_RNA from 1 species
AACGCACAUUGCGCCCCUUGGUAUUCCGGGGGGCAUGCCUGUUCGAGCGUCAUUACAACCCUCAAGCUCUGCUUGGUCUUGGGCGUCACCGGUCCCCGGUGUGCCUUAAAAUCAGUGGCGGCGCCACCUGGCUCUAAGCGUAGUACAUCUUCUCGCUACAGACGUCCGGUGGAUGCUGGCCAGCAACCCCCCAUCUAUCAAGGUUGACCUCGGAUCAGGUAGGGAUACCCGCUGAACUUAA